rnacentral:rRNA from 1 species
GACAGAGACCUCAAGCGUUAUCCGGAAUCAUUGGGCGUAAAGGGUGCGUAGGUGGAUGUGUUAGUCUUCUGUUAAAACUCCCGGCUUAACCGGGAAUCUGCGGAGGAAACGGCACAUCUAGAGUAUACGAGAGGUGAGCGGAACUCAUGGUGUAGGGGUGAAAUCCGUUGAUAUCAUGGGGAACACCAAAGGCGAAGGCAGCUCACUGGCGUACUACUGACACUCAAGCACGAAAGCGUGGGGAGCGAACGGG